rnacentral:rRNA from 1 species
UACAGAGGGGGCAAGCGUUGUUCGGAAUUACUGGGCGUAAAGGGCGCGUAGGCGGCCUUCUAAGUCGAACGUGAAAUCCCCGGGCUCAACCCGGGAACUGCGUCCGAUACUGGGAGGCUUGAAUCCGGGAGAGGGAUGCGGAAUUCCAGGUGUAGCGGUGAAAUGCGUAGAUAUCUGGAGGAACACCGGUGGCGAAGGCGGCAUCCUGGACCGGCAUUGACGCUGAGGUGCGAAAGCCAGGGGAGCAAACGGG